UUUACAUUUGACAACUAACCUCUUCCGACUGCAAAUUUUAUUUAACAAAAAAUUAAAUAUAGAAACAAGAUGACGUUCAUGAAAAAGUUUAUAAAGUUUUGUAAUGAUAAUGUCGUAAUGAUAUCAGGGUUAUCAAUAAUUGUAGGUGUGCAUUGGGGUUGGUCGAAAUUGCAGGAUGUACCAGCUUUGGUUCGGCCUGAAGAAAAGAAAGAUUUGCCUCUUAUCGUUGGGACGCGAAAGUUAGGAGAGUUAAUUGAACACAAAUAUCACGAACUAACUGAUGCAGAACCUAAACAACCAUGAAAUGAUAAAACACGAAUCAUAACUUUGUACAUAGUAAAUAGAAAUAAAUUUGUUGUAUUUUUGAAUAUGAGACUGUUAAAGGGGUUUUUUAAAGCGCUGCUCUCAUAGCUCAACUGUAGUUUGGGAUAAAAUAAAAUUAAAAUGAAAAUCGU